rnacentral:rRNA from 1 species
GGGGAAUCUUAGACAAUGGGCGCAAGCCUGAUCUAGCCAUGCCGCGUGAGCGAUGAAGGCCUUAGGGUUGUAAAGCUCUUUCAGGGGGGAAGAUAAUGACUGUACCCCCAGAAGAAGCCCCGGCUAACUCCGUGCCAGCAGCCGCGGUAAUACGGAGGGGGCUAGCGUUGUUCGGAAUUACUGGGCGUAAAGCGCACGUAGGCGGACUGGAAAGUUGGGGGUGAAAUCCCGGGGCGCAACCCCGGAACUGCCUUCAAAACUUCCGGUCUUGAGGUCGAGAGAGGUGAGUGGAAUUCCGAGUGUAGAGGUGAAAUUCGUAGAUAUUCGGAGGAACACCAGUGGCGAAGGCGGCUCACUGGCUCGAUACUGACGCUGAGGUGCGAAAGCGUGGGGAGCAAAC